GAAAAAGUUAUAGGGGCUAUAGAGUUGGCUUGAAAUCAACUUCAGAAGGUUCGAGUCCUUCCUUUUUUA
rnacentral:tRNA from 1 species